rnacentral:lncRNA from 1 species
GUUAAGAGAGAUUUCUUGAAAUAAUGUACCUAAAGUAACAAAGGGAUUGAAUUAAAUUUCCACAUUCUAAUUCAAUUAAAUCUGAGAAGCAAUGUCAAGAUAAAAGAAAAACUGGCCAAGGUUCUUUCUCAUCUAGCAUAGCAGGGUAUGCUGUUUUAUUUUAACAAAAAUAAGUUGAAAUAUAUUUCUAAAUUUUUGUAAAGAAAUCACAAGCAAAUUGAAAAUGUAUGUGUUAGAAAUCACUAGAGGAAAAAAAGAGACUUGAUCAAUAAAACAUUCCCUAUGUAUCUUUUCAACCCUGUGAUAAUUGUUCAAGGCAAUUUUAGAAAACACUUGUAUUUAUGUGUUCUUUUGCUUUGUUCUGUCAAACCAAGGAUUUCUUCUCCAUAAGGUCUGCUGCCUGAGGCACAUUUGAUGAUUAUAUUUCUUUCACAAUCAACAGAGUCUCUUUGAGUGCAUACUGUCCUGAGACCUUAUUUUGAAAGGAUUAACAUUUAGAAUGGGAGGAGAGAAAAAGCACCUGAGAAGAGAGCCUCACAAACCGAAGUACCAGGAGUUCUUUUUUGCUGCUCAGUGUCACUGGUUCUCAGGAGAACAAGGUGAAGUCUUCAUGAAGUACAAUGAUUAAAUCUUUGGUUCUAUCAGAAAUGCAUUUGAAGACAUUAACCCAUGGCUGUGAAAUGCAGAUGAAAAUCCAAUCUUGAUUGAAUCAUAUGCUCUUAGAUGACUAUAAUGACCAGGUUUGCAAAUCCAUUCUAUGUCCUGACUCUUUCCUGACCUGGUUUGGAAACUUUGUGUAAAGUGGCGCUUUAUCUCUUAUUAAUUCCAAAGAUGACAGACACAGGAUUUCAUUGUCUAGUUAGUGGAAGCUGCGUUCUCUGAUUAGCUGCCUUGCCCUUUUUGAAGCUUUGAUUUAUUGGGGCAGAGCAAGCACUGGCUUUUGUGUGUACUGAAAGGAAACUAGGGUAAGGAAUAAUUUAUGGUUCUCUCUUUGCAGCUGGAAAAAAAAUAAAGGUUAUUUUCAUUAUAUCGCUAUAGGAACU